rnacentral:rRNA from 1 species
UUGGAGGGCAAGUCUGGUGCCAGCAGCCGCGGUAAUUCCAGCUCCAAUAGCGUAUAUUAAAGUUGUUGCAGUUAAAAAGCUCGUAGUUGAAUUUUAGGCCUGACCGGACGGUCCGUCUCUGGCGAGUACUGUUCUGCUGUCGGGUCUAUCCUUCUGGUGAGCCGGUAUGCCCUUUAUUGGGUGUGUCGGGGAACCAGGACCAUUACCUUGAAAAAAUUAGAGUGUUUAAAGCGGGCUUUUGCUUGAAUAGAUUAGCAUGGAAUAAUAGAAUAGGACGUUGGUUCUAUUUUGUUGGUCUAGGACCACCGUAAUGAUUAAUAGGGAUAGUUGGGGGCAUUAGUAUUCAAUUGUCAGAGGUGAAAUUCUUGGAUUUAUUGAAGACUAACUACUGCGAAAGCAUUUGCCAAGGAUGUUUUCAUUAAUCAAGAACGAAAGUUAGGGGAUCGAAGACGAUCAGAUACCGUCGUAGUCUUAACCAUAAACUAUGCCGACUAGGGAUCGGAUGAUGUUAUUUUUAAUGACUCAUUCGGCGCCUUACGGGAAAC